CAAAACCAGCCUUUCACCCCUCAAGGAGAAGUUUGGGUUAGCAGCACUCUCCUUUCCCUCUUGUGUUGGCAGAAAUGAUGCCACUGCUGCCAUGUGGCUUUGCUUUGUGGCUUGGAGUGACCAGAUGUGCCUUCUCCAGAGGGUCUUCCCUGAACUGGAAUUACUGAUCUCAGCAGCCCAGAGAGGAAAACUGUCAAUGUGCAAAAUUUCAUUAACUUGCAAGGCAGCAAGACAGCCCCCCAGGCCAAACUGCAAAUCUGCAAAUCAUGGUGUAAGGUAGAGGUGAAAUGAGAGAGGAAAGGACAGCUCUUCUCAUCCCAUACCCUCGUCCAGGAAUAGAAAAGCACCCACUCCCAGAUCCAGCAUCUCACCCUGCCUGCUCUGAAUGUAGCCAGGGUCUGAGCCUGACUCUUGAUGAGAACAUUUAGAAAUGGGAAAGCUUGGGUGAGAUGGCCCAGAUGGGAGUCCUGCUCUAAGAUAGGCUGGGCAGGAAUGUGCUGGUUCUGUUCAUGUGUUCAGCAGCUCACAUGUCCUGAACCAGCAUUUAGAGAAGCUUCAGAGCUUCAUUUCUGAAGAUUUUUGAACAAACAGGAAUGAAAAAUCUCUGUUAGGCAGCACCUCAGAGAUGUCUUGGAGGAUCUGGGUAUUCACAUUUUUCUGUAUAUCUGGUCUUAGGUCACACGCUUUGUUCAACAACUGUUCUCAAAUGCAUUAACUUCACUACUGGAGCGAGACAGGGUCCCUAGUGUUGUGUAAAAGUACUGCAUGAAUAUAAAUAAACAUAAAGUGCACCUGCACUGCCUCAGUUGCACUUACCCAGACAAAUAGCAUCCUCACACUUGUAAACCAUUUGGAGCUGGCAGGUGCUGCUUU